rnacentral:rRNA from 1 species
AUUGAACGCUGGCGGCAGGCUUAACACAUGCAAGUCGAACGAGUGGCGGACGGGUGAGUAAUGUAUGGGGAUCUGCCCGAUAGAGGGGGAUAACUUCUGGAAACGGUGGCUAAUACCGCAUACUAUCGGAUGAACCCAUAUGGGAUUAGAUAGUAGGUGGGGUAAAGGCUCACCUAGGCGACGAUCUCUAGCUGGUCGGAGAGGAUGACCAGCCCAACUGGGACGGAGACACGGCCCAGACGCCAACGGGAUGCAGCAGUGGGGAAUAUUGCGCAAGGAGGGGAGGCCUGAUGCAAACAUGCCGCGUGUAUGAAGAAGGCAUUAGGGGUGUAAAGUACUUUCAGCGGGGAGGCGUUACCCGCAGAAGAAGCACCGGCUAACUCCGUGCCAGCAGCCGCGGUAAUAC